rnacentral:rRNA from 1 species
GACGGGGGGGGGCAAGUGUUCUUCGGAAUGACUGGGCGUAAAGGGCACGUAGGCGGUGAAUCGGGUUGAAAGUGAAAGUCGCCAAAAAGUGGCGGAAUGCUCUCGAAACCAAUUCACUUGAGUGAGACAGAGGAGAGUGGAAUUUCGUGUGUAGGGGGUGAAAUCCGUAGAUCUACGAAGGAACGCCAAAAAGCGAAGGCAGCUCUCUGGGUCCCUACCGACGCUGGGGUGCGAAAGCAUGGGGGAGCGAACAGG